rnacentral:lncRNA from 1 species
GAGGAUGGAGAGCGUGCUGCCGUUGUGGUCGCCGGCGGUGAACACGAAGUUCAUCACCAUGAGGAGGCCGAACGUGGUCUGGUCCGCGAACGUGUAGGUGCCCUGGGCGCGGCCGAUCUCGGUGCCGGACGACCGCGUGGGCCCCGUGGUGAGAGGGUCGUCGAUGGCCACCACGGCGCCGAAGGAGGUGGAGGAGGUGUUGGACGACGCCGCCUGCGCGAUCCGCACCGCGGUUGGGGACGACGUCCCCGCCACGAUGUCGUGGAAGUAGAGCUUGAAGGUCGUGAACCCGGUGUCGUCGGCGGCGGCUGCCGCUGAUGCGAGUGCCGCGGCGGCGCAGAGGAGGAGGAAGAGCGUGGUGGUGGCCAUGGCGAUGGGUGGUGGUGGUGGUGGUGGAGGCGGGCGAGGUGGGGUGGCCAGUGGGAUAUGUAACGGACAACGGUGGGUGGGGUGGUGGGAGUGGUUGGUAAAGAGCAGCGAGGGUGGGACAGUGGAAUCGAUACGGUCGGUCACUCGAUCUGGAGGAGCAGGUCGUCUGCCUGCCUGUCGUCGUAGUUGGUCCGGUAGGUGAGGUCGCCAUCAGUUGCAUCGCGUCCUUCCUACCCUUUAUUUGCAUGCAACUUCAGUUAUAUUUACAGUAAUUCCCAUAUCGAUCGUGCGCAGCACAAGGAUGUGGUCACGUUGACGCGAGGUCAUCAUCAGGGAUCAUAAAUAAGUAAAUAAAACAAAAACUAUCAAAAUGGUCGGAAGAAGGAGGACUAGGUUAUUUUUGUUUUCACGUUGUACUGUUCAUGUCUGAUUCGAAAGCGCAUUCAAUUUGUUGGGUCUCAAAUUUUACAUGAACAUAGAACUUCUCAACAUCAAUCGUUCACAUUUUUGCUGGAAUCUUUUUUCGAACAUUCUCCUGUUGAACAGUAGAGGCCGUAUAGAGGGAUUCAAUCCUCUGCAAUAAAAAAUUCAACUCAUCAACUCAUGUCUCCUGUUGAACAAGCUCUUAGGCCUUGUUUAGUUCCGAAAAGAUUUCGGAUUUCGGUAGCGUAGCACUUUCGUUUAUUUGUGACAAAUAUUAUCCAAUUAUGGACUAACUAGGAUCAAAAGAUUCGUCUCGCGAUUUCCAGCUAAACUGUGUAAUUAGUUUUUGAUUUCGUCUAUAUUUAAUGCUUCAUGCAUGUGCCGCAAGAUUCGAUGUGACGAGGAAUCUUGAAAACUUUUUACUUUUUGGGGUGAACUAAACAAGGUCCCGGUGUAUCCUUAAGAGUUCCACAUGGAAUUGAGUGGUUGGUGUGUUGUACACUUAGUACACUGUACGCAACAGCGUUUGAGCACCUCCCUGUUGCCCCUACUUCAAGGAAGAAGGUCACUCGUACAUGUGCAAAGAGGCAGGCACCGCGGUAGAGAGUGCAGUCCUUGUAGCAACAUUUGGUUCUCACCUUCCUUAAUCAUACUCUUCUCGCGUGAAUGGUGUGGUUAUAUAUAAAAAAAAAGUCUCUUGCUUCCACACUACCGGAGAGCCGGCAUUUGCCGUGUGUCCAAAAGUAUGUCGUGUGUAACACACGGCAAAGGUCGAGUUUGCCGUGUGCCUAGAAAAAGCACACGGCAAAAGCUAGGCACACGGUACACAUGGCCUUUGCCGUGUGUUACCCACGGCAAACAAAAGGCACACGGCGAACUCAAACCUUUAACGUGAGCAACACACCGCAAAAUCAGGGUACACGGCAAAAACUAACUCCACACUAACGUCCAUCCUCCAGCCGUCAACGAUUGCCAUGUGCGACCGUGAGGCACACGGCAAAGCCUGGGUUUGCCAUGUGUUUGUGUUUGACACACGGCAAACACAAUCUUUGCCGUGUGCCAAAUGUGCAGCACACGGCGAACAAUUUGUCUUUUUUUUUCAGAUUUUGCCCUCCAUAUUUUUUCUUGUCUACACACUCACCAUUUGUAAGUCCGUAUUCAAAUUUCAUAAAAUUUGAAACAUGUUUGCUAUAUUUUUGCAAUUAACAGUAUUUAAUUUUAUUUUUUCGAAUGCGGUCAAAUUUGAACUACGACUCAGUGAAAUUGUUGGAAAAAAAUAUAGGAAAAAUGAUAUUCAUGUUACCCAACCCUGUCUAAGAACACACAUUCGAAACGAAAAUGACUUUCGAAUGCGUGGUUAGGAGACACGACGGCGAACAUGCGUUGGUACUUUUCAAAAAUUCUAAUAAAUUCUAUUUUAUUUCGUAAAUCUUGAAACUUGUACAUAUAUCAUGUUAUCAUACAUAGAUGCCAUAAAAAAGUUUGGGUAGAUUUCGAACAAGUUGUCUUAUAUGAUGUGUAGAAACCAAACAAUCUUCAAAUAAGUUUGAGAGAGUUAUAAGUGAAGGAGUAUGAGUUGGAGUAGAUUCGACUUUCAUAUUUGAGUUUGAUUUCGAAACUUUUUCUAUAGGCACUACACCACAUAGGUUGUGUCAUGUCCAAAUUUGGGAAGUUUUUGGAAUUGUUUGCUAUUUCUUAAUUAAUUUCAGCAUUUAUUGAUUUUGAAACGAGAAAAAUCGAAAUAAAGAAAUAAACACAUGAAAUAAUGGUGUAAUAUGUUUGUAAACAUGGAAUAUACAUUGUGAAGUUCAUUUGCCAAAGAAUUUACAUAAAAAAUUGAUUUAUUAAGUAAGUUUAUAUUUGUAAACAUAAAAUUUUGUUUACUGUUUGUCGUGUGCCCCUUGAAGCAGCACACGGCAAAGUGUUCGCCGUGGGCAAAAUUAAGGCACACGGCAAAGAGGCGUGUUUGUCGUGUGCUCCUCAUCUAGCACACGGCAAACCCCCCUCGGGGGGACUUAAUCCCACGCGCGCGCUCGGUCAACUCACGGGACUCAACUCUUCUCCCCCGAGCCCCAGCCGCGCCCGCCGCCACAGCCGCCCACCUCUGCGCCCACCGCCGCAGCCGCCCACCGCCGCCGCCCACAAGCUGUCGGUGCCCACCGCCGCCGCCCACGGGUCUCCCCCGCCCGAGCUCCUCGUGCCGGCCUGCGCCGCCGCCCUUGUCCGCGCCCCUCCCACCGUCUCUUCCCGCGGCCGCGGCCGUCCCUUCCUCCACGGUCGGCCGGCGGCCGGAUCUCGCCUUGGCCGAGCUCCCCCGCCCCGGCCUGUGCCCCUCCCCCGCCUCGGCCUGCGCACCUCCCCACCCCAGCCCGUGCCCGCCGGCACCCAACGCCGCUGCCCCUCCCUCGACGAGGAGCCGGUCGGCGCCAGCCUCGGCCCGAGCUCCCCCGGCCUCAUCCCACCCUCGGCCCUGUAGACAGGAGAAGAGGAAGAAGAAGAAUUAGAAGAAGGAGAAGGGAGGAAGAAGAGGAGGAAGAAGAAGGGAGAAAGAGGAUGAGGAAGAAGGUGUGGUGAUCCCUUUCUCUGUCACUGGUCCUCGCUUCGUCGCCGCCAAGGUAAGCCCUACUUCUAGUGUUAGUAGUAGUUGUAGUUGUAGUAGAUAGUAGUUGUUAGUAGUUGUUGUAGUUAAGUAGUUGUUAGUAGUAGUAGUAAUUGCUAUGGUUGCCGGCCAUCGUGCCGCUGUUUUGUUGUAGGUUUUGGAAACCUCCUCGUGUAGGGGAGAUGCUGCCAAAAUUUUUAUUUGACACUAUUAUUUUUGUAGGAGAACGUUAGGUCGUGGGAGCAGAGACGUUCCUCAGAGCUGUGGGUCUGCCUACACCGCUAGCCUCACUCCACCGCCACCCAAGGUAUAACCGCGUUGUAUUUGUGUCGUAGUUUACGUAACCGAGUUACGCGUCUCCCGUUCGAAAGAGAUACGGUUGGAAAUGACCGUAUCUCUUUCGAAUUGUCCACGUUAUUUGGACAGCCCGAGGAUGCGUUGAUGGGGUUAGUUUCCAUGUCCACUUCGAUCUGAGAUAUAGUUUCGGCAUCACCUCCCUGUUGUUUUCCGGAUACACAACCUCCCCGCCUUGACGUGUAUUUGGAGAACAGUGGGGAGGUGUUGCCGAAAUUCUAUCUCAGAUUGGAGUUAACAUGGAAAAUAACCCCAUCUACGCAUCCUCGGGUGGGAUUAGGACCUAUCCUCACCUAUUAGUUAUUAGGGCUAUCGUGUAGAUACAUUCCGUUCUUACAUUACUGCAUGAUAUGUUAGAAGAUGGAUGACCGUCAGUGGAUGUACACCGGCCGCCCAAGUCAGAGAGACAUCUCCUUGGAAUGGAUUGAGAAGACUGAGGCUUUCUUAGAGCAAGCAUUUGCCGUGGCUAAAGGCGCCUGUAUGACCUGGUGUCCAUGCGGGAAGUCUGCAAACACGCGGAAGCGUACGAAGGAGGUCAUGGGGCAGCAUCUUUGCAAGUUUGGUUUACGCAGGGCUAUACUAGAUGGACCUACCAUGGUGAAGGUGACCGCACGAGGGAGGAGGUUGUGAGACCACGUGUCGACGGUUUUGAUGAUGAUGGUGGGGUAGCAGACAUGUUAGAUGACUUUGGUCAUGGAAACUUUGUUGGAGGAGUUACGGAGGAGGAUUCCGAGCCUACCGCCAAGGCGUAUUACGACAUGCUAGACUCGGCUCAGAAACCCCUCCACGGCCAUACAUCAGUCUCACAGCUUGAUGCUAUUGGUCGUGUGAUGGACUUCAAAUCUAGGUGUAGCAUGAGUCGACAACACUUCGAUGACUUGCUGACAAUUAUUGGCACACUGCUUCUGGCGGGGCACGUUCUACCAAAGAGCAUUACGACUCACAGAAACUUCUUCGUGCACUAAAGAUGUCGUAGAAGAUACAUGCUUGUCCAAAAGGCUGCAUCCUAUUCAGGAAACAAUAUGAGAAUGCAAAGUACUGUCUAGAGUGUGGCUCCUCUAGGUUUCUGGAUGUAGAGUCCGGUGAUGGUAGCACUCGGCUGCUAGACAUCCCUGCUAAGAUCCUACGGUACCUUCCGUUCUUACCGAGGCUUCAACGGCUAUACAUGACCGAGGAGACCGCGAAGCAGAUGACAUGGCAUAAAAAUGGACGUCGAUACAAUCCUGACAAGAUGGUACAUCCAUCCGAUGGUGAAGCAUGGACCCAUUUCGAUGGUAUUCAUCGGGAGAAAGCUGCAGAGGCUCGUAAUGUACGUGUUGCACUCACAACAGAUGGCUUCAAUCCCUAUGGACUAUUGGCUGCCCUGUACACUUGUUGGCCCAUGUUUGUUGUCCCACUCAAUCUCCCCCGGCGUCAUCUUGCAACGACACAUGAUCUUCUUGUCGUUGGUAAUUCUUGAACACCCGGGGAAACGUAUGGGUGUGUGGAUGAAGCCUUUGAUUGAUGAUUUGAUCAAAGCUUAGGAUGAAGGGGUACUGACGUACGACCGAGCUACGAAGACAAACUUCACAAUGCAUGUUUGGUACCAGUACUCCAUGCAUGACUUCCUAGCGUAUGGGAUAUUCAGUGGUUAGUGUGUUCAUGGGAAGUUGGGAUGUCCAAUAUGCAAGGACCAUGUGAGGUUCUUCUGGUUGAAGAAUGGUGGCAAGUUUUCAUCGUUCGACAAACAUCGUCAAUUCCUCCCUCUUGAGCAUUCAUUCAGAAAAGACACCAAGAACUUUAUGAAAGGUGUUGAAGUCACGGACCCUCCACCGUGCAUGUAUACUUGUGCGGAGGUUCAUGCUCAGAUAGAUGCUCUUGUUUUCAAUAAAAAGGAUGACAAAUUCGAGGGAUAUGGUGAGCAGUAUAUGUGGACUCACAGGUUAGGUUUGACGAGGCUCCCGUAUUAUGAUGACCUUCUUGUGCCACAUCACAUUGAUGUAAUGCACACUGAAAAGAAUGUCGCUGAGGCACUUUGGGCAACCAUGAUGGACAUUUCUGAUAAGUCAAAGGACAAUGUUAAGACUAGAGUGGAUCUGGCAACGUUGUGUGAUAGGCCAAGUCAGGAGAUGCGACCUCUUGUCGGCCGCAAGAAUUGGAGUAGGCCUAAGGCUGAUUUCGUCUUGGCUAGGAAGCAUAGGAGGGAAGUACUUGAAUGGAUAAAGACGUUAAUUUUCCCUGAUGGGUAUGCAGCGAAUCUGAGGAGGGGAGUGAACUUAAAUACUCUGCGAGUCUUAGGGAUGAAGAGUCAUGACUACCACAUAUGGAUUGAGCGGCUUCUUCCGGUGAUGGUUCGAGGCUAUGUCCCUGACCACAUCUGGGUCGUGCUGGCAGAGUUGAGCUACUUCUUCUGACAGCUUUGUGCCCUGGAGGUAUCUCGGUCCGUAUUGCUAGCCUUGGAAGCAGCGGCACCUGUGUUGGUCUGUAAGUUGGAGAAGAUAUUUCCACCCGGCUUCUUCCUUCCCAUGCAGCAUUUGAUUAUGCAUCUCCCGUAUGAGGCAUGGAUGGGGGGUGUAACACCCUAAAUUUUGCUUCUUUGAAAAUAGAGCUAAAAUAAUUUAUUUUGUAUUUCUGUGCUCAUGAAAAUAUAGUAAAAUAAAAUUUUUCCUUAAAUUAAAAUUCAUCAUAGGGUUUAGCAACGUUGUUGUGCAUACAUGCUGGUACAUAUGUUUUAUGUGAUGUUUGUUUGUUGCUCCUUUGUGUUUUGAGACUAAGCAAAGUUUUUAAAAUUGUGUUUAGUAGAACGAUCUUUCUUGGUCAGUACAUCUUUAUCUUUAUCUAACCAAAUUCCUUGUUUCUAAGCUCAAGAUUUUAUUAGGAGCUUCCUAAAAUCUUUUGUUUGUCACUCAAAGCACUUCUUUUAGUUCCUCGUCCAUCAAGCAAUCUCUACAAACUUUUCAGGAAUUUUUCCAGCUUUUGUUCUCACUUUUCUGUGAGCAUGAUCUAAUUUUUAGAUGCUCCAAAUAAUCUUAUCAUGGGCUCCAAAUACUUUAUUUGAGUUUCUCAUGUUCCAUAAUGUCUCUGAGAAUUUUCUCUGAAUUUUCGGAGCUUUCAGAGUAUUUAUUUUUUACAGUUUAAAUAAUAAUUCUAGACUUUUCUGGAAUUAUUUCAUCCAUGAAAUUAAAUAAUUCCGAAAAUAGUAAAUCUCUUAUUGUUUUUCCAACGCUCAAAGCCCAUGUACAAUAAUCCUAAUAAUUCAUAAAGGCUCAUAUCUUUAUGUGCUAAUGGGCUUUAAUAAAUAAUUAGGCCUAUUAGUAAAGAUGAACGGUGUAACAUCAAUUAGUAUCAUAUUGCUAAUUGACGUUGAUGUGGGGAGUUCUUCUUCCUAUUUAUAUGUGCCAACCCUUUUAGCAAAGCACAUCCAAAUCACCGUAACCUUGCAUUCAUCAUCGAUUAUAUAUCCCUCGAGGAAUUUCACAAAAAGCCCCAGCAAGCCUCUCUGCACACCGUCGGUAGCUAUCUUUUUGCCGUGUUGUCAAAGCCUAACUAAGCUGCCGCAGUUCGAUCGCCUCCUCGCUUACCGACGAGCCACCACCACCAGAUCCGUUCAUCCCUUGCUGGCGGACACAACCGCUCAUGUGCGCCCCCUACGCUCUGACUCUGCCGAAAAUCUAGGCAAGCCAUGCUAUUGGAUGCCCCCAUUGAUGUCGUCGUUGCUCCCUACAGGCCAUCGGGCCUUGGCAAGAAAGAUGGGCCUUAUGCAGUACGCAAGCAAUGCAGUUAUUUUUACUGAAGAACAGAGAACAUGCAUGCAUGACUAAAGGUCAGCCGCUCCAUCGGUUCCUUGCCCAAGUUAAUAAUUGUUUCUAUCUCUGAUCUUUCGUUUCACCGUGAAGUACUAAAAAUAUUAUUCUUGUCAAAUAAUACAAUACUGAUAUCUGUAUCAUAUUAGCUCCGAUUUAGUUGUGUAGCAUCCUUAACAUGACACGUGCUUGAGAACUUAUAAUUUAGAUAUUAAUUUGAUUAAUAGCAUACAACUAUAGUUUUAUAACUAAAUUAGCAAUAUAGGUGUCGAACUUUGGUAAUCAUUAAUAUAAAAUUAAUUACAAACAUAAUCAUGUUUCACAAUCUUAACUACUUAGCUUGAACAUGAUCAUUUCCACACGUUACUUCUUUUUGUAAAAUUACAGAUUAAUUUGUUUAAUUUAUACGAUAACAUUUAUAAAUAAAAUAUUAUUAGUUUUAACUUGAUUUUGUUCAAAUAUAAUUUAGUUUAAUUCAAUCUAGGUAUUUCGCUAAAGUGUCUUAUAGAUAUUUUAUAUAACUAUUGAAAUCAACGAAGCAUGUAGAUUUUUUUUCUCUUAUAAAGUAAAUUUUACGAUAUUUAUUUCUCUUUCGUCGUAGCUCCGAUUAGAGUGCUUUUCACGUCUUUGUGCUUGUAGUAAUGCGUAGAUUAGUUUCUAAAUUUUAUUUAAUUAUUGAUUGGUGUACUGUUCUAAAUUUAUUAUGUUUGCUAUGCAUGUUUGUUGGAUGCUUGUGUGCUAUGAUCAUGUCUAGUCGGCGAGUUUUGUGCGGUGAUCAAGAAGGACCGGAGUUGGUAAUAGUGAGCAAGCAAUCAAUUUAAGAUUUGGACUAGCAGAAUCAACAAGAGCAGCAGGAAAGCAAUUGGAUCAAGGCAAGUAUAGCAUUUGGAUUUUAUUUCUGUGACCAUGAUCCUGUGACUAGAUUAAUGUUAAGUAAUAAACGAUAAAAAUGACUUUUUAGCAACUUGAUGAUUUGUCUGUACGUGAUCACCCGGGACAACAGUGCAACCAUGAGGGCUAUAAUGGCUCUGGCUUUAGCUCAGUAUGAAGACCUUUUCUAGCUUGUUAGAGGUUACCCGAAAGGGCGGAGGGGCUGAACCGUUUUGGGUAUAGUGUGGCCUCUGUCUGUAUGUGUAUAGGCUGCGCGUCAUUGUGCCAUCGGAAGGGGGGCUCUAUAUCUGCGCGCAAAGGAAACCUUGCGGCCCUAACAGGUUAGACGAACUUUUGAAAUGCUUCAUAGUGAUCCCUACCGACCUUCCUUGGAAGUGGGUUAAGAGGCUGAUCACCUCGGGCGAAAGGGUAAAUCAUGACUCAUGGGUAAAGAUGUGCAACCUCUGCAGAGUGUUAAAACUAGUAUACUAGCCGAGCUCACGGUCAGGAGCGGCCUUGGGGACAUCUACAUUAAGGGUGAUGAUUCUUGUGUGUUAAAUAUGCUCAUUGUUUAUUGUUUAAUGCUUUACAUUAUUUGUCACAUUGAUCAUGAGAUUGUGGGAGCUAUACAAUCUAGUUGCUAUACUUCUGGAGUUCGACAUGGACUCACUCUUGCUAUUCCCCACACCCCUCAGGAGAAGUUUUGGGCUUGUGAUCAACCAGUCAGUUGGAUCCUGUAGAGUGAAGUUAAUACCCGAAGGUUGGAGUUGUCUAUCCGCUGUUUGCUAUCAAAGGUUAUAUCUUUUAUAUUAAGUACGUUAUAUAUUUAUGCAUUGUCUUUUGAUAUUACCCCUUAUUUGUAGCUAUAUGUGAGAUUUGACUUCUAAAACUCACAUAUGGUGCAUAUCUGGUUUUGUCCUUAAAAUCGGGUAUUACAGGGGGCCCGUCCAGGGCCGUUGGUGCUAUCCAAUCGAGAGAUGCUUCAAGUUCCUUUGAAGAAAAUGUAGGAAUAAAGCCAAGAUUGAGGCUUCGAUGUCAGAGGCUUACAUCACUGAGGAGGCGUCGAACUUCACAACAUCAUACUAUAAUGAGAACCUUCCUAGCGUGCAUAAUCCACUCCCUCGUUACAAUGCCAAUGAAAAUGAAUGCAACCUUAGCCUAUUCUGAGGCCAACUCGGAAGUCUAAGUGAAGGCACCCCCAAGAGGCUGACAAGUCAAGAGUGGCACACUAUAAUGCUAUAUGUGUUGACCAAUCUUGAUGAGGUGCAUCCAUACAUGCAGUAAGUUUUUAUACCACUUUGUUUCUCAUCGGUGCUGUACAUGCACUAUCUGCAUCCAACCCCUUUGUCCCCCAUCGAUGCUGGCAAUUUCAAAAUGAAUUCUAGCGUCGAUCAAGGGAACCAACCCCACAAGAGCUUGAUACACUUCUUAAACAGGGUGCGCGCACUGGAAGUCCCAAUUUCAUUUCUUGGUUCCAAGAAAAGGUACUUUCCCUCGUGUACUUAUUAACACAUUGCAAGUAGAUGGUACGAGCGGGUAAUAUAAUGUACUAUUUUUCUUCACCUUGCAGAGCCAAACCGAUGUGCUUAUGAGCGCCGAGUUAAGACAGGUUGCCCAUGGUUGUGCACAUAGGGUCAUGUCAUAUGCCGGUUAUGAUGUGAAUGGAUAUCGCUUCCACACAACAAGGCACGAGCAAAGUCGUCCUAACCGGAAAACCACAAAUACCGGAGUUUUCACACCCGGACAAAAUGGGAUGGACUAUUAUGGAAGAAUUGAAGACAUAUACGAACUCACAUUUCAUGGUUGCAAAGAUAUUAAAUUUGUCAUAUUCAAAUGCCAUUGGUUUGACCCUGAAGUAAUAAGACGAACGCCUAAUCUUGGGCUAGUCGAAAUUCGACAGGAUUCCGUCUUACCCGGAGAUGAUAUAUACAUUGUGGCCCAACAGGCCACACAAGUUUAUUAUACGUCGUACCCAUGCAAAACCGAUGCACGUCUUAAGGGUUGGGAUGUUGUGCACAAGGUAUGGCCACACGGUGGAGUACCGGUACCAAACAAGGAAGAUUACAUCCUUGACAUGGACACAUAUGAAGGGGAGUUCUAUCAAGAAGAGGGUCCAGAAUGGACUUUUGUGAUAGACUUAACUGAAGCCGUGGAUGUGGCCAUUGGUGUUGAAGACGAUGACGACAUUGUGGUUGAAGAUGUGAGGGACUUACAAUUACUUGAGCAGUUACGCUUAGACAAUGACGAUGACGAUAGCGAUGCUCCUACGGUUAGUGAUGAGUACCUAGACAUGGCUGGUACAGAUGAUGACAUGGGGAUGCACCAGAUGCCAGUUAUGAUGAUGAUUAUUUCUAAUACAUGUAAUAUUAUGUUAUCCUUAAUUUGCAUCUCUAUCUAAGUACAUGUUUAUUUGUGGUUACUGAUUUACUCUUCUUACAUGCGGGUCAUUGAACAAAGAUGGUGGGCGGCAUGAGGAACGUGAGGUCGCGGUACGCUCGACCGAGGGUGGAGCCUCAGGAGCAGCCUGAGGGGUCGGAGAGCGGGUCAGGGAGCCGGUCGAGGCGCACCUUGACCAUGAGGACUAGGAGUGUUAGCAGUCUUUAGGGGGAGACGCCCGCGGUGCAGCAGCAGGAGACGCCCACCUAGGAGCAGGAGGAGGAGCAUCAGGAGGAGGACGAGGACGACGGGGCCCGCUGGAUAUCUGGCAACGAGGUCCCAAUCAGCUUCCCAGUCGACCGAUAUUCAUCGACCAUCGCCCAUUGAUUCGGCCACGAGGGCAAAAGUAUGUUUGAAAGCAUUACUUCGAUAUUCCUUAUGUUCAAAUUCACAAUAUGAUCUACUAAUUUUGGUUAACCACUUGUGCGGGUCCUUUAAGGUACUGGUAGCGGGAGUUGCUCACCAACGACACCCCAGUACCAUCCUUGGUGGCUUGUGCAGGUUGCACUUCCCUGGCGUGUUCACUCUUGCGCGGGGUCCUGAGCCGGCGUGGACGUUUCAGCAUUACGGAGGAGCGCCAGAUACCACAGAUGUACUUGGCAGGAACUUCGGCAACAAGGCCAUGAGGGUGAUUAGGGAGAUGUGGGUAAUAAUUCCUCGCACUUCAAUGCUCACUACUUCACAUUCUUUGCUCCUUCUAUACAUAAUGACUGUCUACAUCGUGUGUAAAUGCAGGAUUUCUUUAGAGUGGAGCCCAAAUAUGAGGAACAAGCCAAUCACAUUUUGGAAUAAAAUGUGUCAAGAACAUCAAGGACAUGCACUACGAGGCGCGCAUCCAGGCAAUCAUAAAUUACAAGGCCCAGUACGAGCACGUGAAGAUAGGCAAAGAGGUCGCAAGGGACACUACACUGACCAAGGAACAAUUCAUGCUUGUAAGUAACGCUAAUUUCUUUAUAGUUUAAGUAACGUAAUCUGGUCUUGUUAAAUGUCAUGUUCUUGAUCACGUGUAGGUGCCACCGUACUGGGUGGAGGGCAAAGGGAUGUGCUGGGAAUUGAUGGUGAACCGGUGGUGAAGCCAGGAAUGGCGGGACCAGGACGACGCUGCCCGAGGGCGACGCAGAAAGAUGCCAGGUCCAUCACACCAUCAAGGGAGCCUUACCCUAGAGGAAUACAAAGAAAGAUAUGUAAGUACGAGGAUUUAUUAACUCAUUCUAAUGUCAUAUGUGCGUACCCUCUAAUCAUCUUCUUGUUUUUUGCAGGAAGCCGCACACCCUGGGCAGGAAAUAGGCCCGUUGGGGGCCUAUGCUCUUUCCAAGAAGGGGAAGGCAAUAGCCGCCAUCACCUACAGCCCGGAUGACCCUCCUGAGGCGUACACCAACUCCAUUGUCCAUAGCCAGAUCAGCUCAUACUGUGACUCAGCACAUGCGAUCCAUGGCCCUGAUUUCGAUCCCUACAACGAGGCCAUGAGUGGAGAAGCAGCCAUGAGGGCGGGGGGAGGCAAGCAACAUGGGCGGUACUGGGUUGCCGACCCCUUGAUCGACUCCUCGAGGACUCCUACUCUCUCCCAUAUCAGAGCAAAGGACAGGCGCCAGGGCCAAAGCAGCUCCGCAGCCGACUGCGUCAUCACCAACCUCCAGGUUCUCACUAUUUCAUUCGCGCUCAAUCGUUUUAAAUCAUAACAUAGCUUUGUAACACAAGUGUUCAACCUUGUAGACCCAGCUUUCGCAAAAGGAAGUCAGGAUCACUGAGUUAGAGACACAUAAAAGAGAGAUGGACCUCACCUCCUCCGCCAUCCUUGUACAUUCCACCCGCUCCAGGUGGACCUAGUCUAGUGAGUUUCACUUCACUUAACCAUGAAAUCUCUACCUUUGUAGAUGUAGAUGUAAUUGUGGUUGCGUGCCAUCGAGCCGCUGUGGAUGUCGGCCAUCCUGGCGAUCCUUUUCUUGCAGGUCUUGGGAACCUCCCUGUGCAGGGGAGGUGCUGCUGAAAUUUUCAUUUGAAUCCAUUAUGUAUAUCUUUAACUUCAAGUAUUUAAUCUCAAAAUUCACUUACAACACGUUUGUCUCAUCCUUUGUGCAGCUUCAAUCCCAGGGUUCUACUCAAGCGCCCAAUGAGCAAAGUCCUCAAGAUGGUGGGUGGAGCGACCAUAUCAAUCCGUACCAACCUCCAGACGAUUCAUGGGGCAGACGAGAUGGAUUCGGUUGGUGAACUUGUAGUUUGUUCAUGGAAUUUGUCGUUUCGUUGGAUGUGUUAUUGAACUAGUGGUUUUCUCAAACUUGUGAUGAACUAGAAAUAUCGUUGGACUUGGUGAUGAACAUGUGCUUAUGUAUGUGACAUGUACGUUAUAUAUAUGUGAGAGAUUCGUAUAUCGUGGUUAUUGUGGCAAAUGUGUGAAUAUUAUGAUAUUUGUGUGCUAUGUGUGAUUAAUGUGAGCUGUGCUAUGAUAUAUGUGGUUGCAAAAGCAAAAAACCAAAAAAAAAUACCUGGGAAGGGGCUUUGCCGUGUGCUAGAACCAUAACACACGGCAAAGAAGGGGGUUUGCCGUGUGAUGUGGCCAUAACACACGGCAAACUAGCCUGCCAGGGCGCACCUGUGAAUAAGGUUUGCCGUGUGCCUGCAUGAUGGCACAUGGCAAAGAUUCAAAGAUUGCCAUGUGCCUGCAUGGUAGCACACGGCAAACCCUAUUUUCAGAAAAAACUAAAAUAAUUUUAUAAGUUUUUGCCGUGUGCCCUACUUAGCUCACGGCAAAGGUUCACCGUGUUCCGUCAUGCCCGUCUCCCGCCGUCCGUUACCUUUUUUUCGCCGCGUGCCAAGCUUGACUCACGGCAAAGCUUCGCCGUAUGCUUACCUUUUUGCCGUGUAUAAAGCUAUGGUUCGCCGUGGCAUAGUUUGUCGUGUGCUCUUCGCCGUGAGCAACACACGGUAAACCCUUCGCCGUGUGCUACAUUGACUUUGCCGUGUGUUCCUGACACACGGCGAACCCACAGAAUCCGGUAGCGCCAGCUGCAGCUGUAUCUGAUUGCCUCGUGAAUUCUUCUCACUUUGAGCGCACUGAUCAAACUCAAACCGUAAGCCAUGCAUACGUCAAAGCAGAGCCGGCUGUCAUAUUCCAUAGUACGCACCAACCAUCAAGCAUGAGGAAACUUGAAGCUAAAGUUAGUAACAUUCACUUACAAAGCACAGUUCUAAGUAGUAAUUUAGAGUGGAAUGUUAUCGCGGCAUUAGCGCAACGCACACACAGAGCCAAAGAGGUUCGGUGCAGUAGAGAAUUUGUCUUUAACAAGGGAAAUUAUUUUUAGCAGUUCAGCUACAUCACUGUAGGGUGACAACGGAAUUGUGUUUUUUGUUCAGAGUUAAGGGCCCCUUUGAUACAAGGGCUCAUUGCUAGCUAGCUGAAAAUUUGCUCUAGUACAUCCAAACAUGAUGGUUAAUAGUUGAGCUAAUUUACUAGUCAAGUUUCCAACUAGGUUUUAACCAACAAAUUAGUUAACCAUAGCUAAUUUAGCUAAUUUUUAGCCAUAACAAAUAAUUAGCCAUGUGUGCAUCAUUGUAUCAAACAGACACCAGCUUGAAUAAACUCUGUUUGAGCAUAUCUAUCGAAUCUACUAGUGAUUCAGUGAUGUUUUUUCCUCAUAAUAAAUCAGCGAACAAUAUUUUUAGUUAUGGCUUUUCAGCCAAGCAAACAAAAGGCGAACGCCGCGUGAAGAACCAGGUAAGAUUGCUGAAGAAAUGCAAAAAGAUGGGUAAAAUAUUUUUCUAUCAUGUCCUAACCAGCUACUAUAUCUCUAUAUCUCAUAUUUAUAUCUCAUAUAUUUUUUUAAAAUUGUUUUGGAAUAUGGACAGUUGUAGCUGUGGUUUAUGGCUCAUUAAUUACAUGGAAUAUUGGACAGGAACUGCUUUAUCUGACCAAAUCAGCCAGGUAAUUGUUUAAAAAAUUAAUUUCUAAACAUAGUCAUUGCUUUUUGAUUGGUUAAUAUGAGAACUUGCUCGUAAUUUCAGAAAGAUAUAAGUAACUUCAGGUAUAAACUACCUGCUAUCUUGUAUAACUCUCCAUUAAAUGAAGCAAGAGGCUUACCGGAUGAUGGAGAUCAAUAUGAGACUAACAAUAUUGAGGCUGAUGACGUCACAGAGCUAGAUGAUCUGGAUAUUUUAAUGUCAGGUGACAUCAAGUUAACACGUACAUUAAAGUGGAAAAGUAGAGAAGAUCUAUUAUCAGCAAUUUACACAAUCAUCCAUUUGAUUGGAAGUGAUGAAACUUUUGAGUAAGUCAUUCUAAAAAUUUCUGUUGUCUGUCCUAGAUUUCCUAUAAAAUUAAUUUUAUCUUUGUCAUUGUUUAUUUAGCAAAGACUGGGUACGGAGUACAAGACCGUACCCAAUUUCUUUAGGUCUGAGGAAGAUUAAAAAUAUUUUAAAUGAGGAUCGAGAGAUGGAUCAUGAAUGCUUAAAUAUGGCUAUUCGGAUAGUUGUAUGCAACCAAGACAUGACGAUGAAGAAACAAAAAUAUCACUUCAUGGACCUCAGAUUUGCUGUAAGUUGAAAUAAAAAAUUAUAAUUUAUCAAAUACUUACAAUAUUUAGUUAGUUGUAUAAUUAAAGUUGUUUGAUUUUUUUGCAAAAUCAUCAGGAAAACCGGUUGGACCGUUGUCCUCAGAAGAGAUGAAAACAUAGCCUCAGACGUAAGACCUGGUGAAGAAGCUAGCCGCAUAACAGUUGGGCUGAAAAGCAAUAAUCAUCACACUGGGCUAGGCCCAACAAUCACGACAUUGUUGCUGCUCUUGCACAUGAGUUGAUCUAAGAAGUUCUAUUACGAUUAAUUUCUCUUUUAUUUUGAAUGGACUUUGUCGGUGACUGAACUUUGACUAUGCAUGCACACGGAGACAUGCCGCACUAGUAGGUGAAGGUAUGACUUUUUUUAGGUGGUGAAAGUAUGACAUGGCAUGGACUAAACCAGGCCGGCAAGAAGCUGGUGACCUUAGGGUCUGUUAGUUGAGCUGUGGCCGUGGGCAAAAUCUGUUCUGGGCUCUGAGCUAUGAAAAAAACUGUUAAGAUGUUAGUUAUGAGCUUAAAGCUGUUUGGCUGAAACAUCUGUGGACAGGCUGCUAUUGUAAGCUAUAUAAAAAGUCUAUAAUACUCCUGUAUGUUUUAAACACAAUUUAUAUGCAAAUUUGUUGUAAAAUACUAUAUUAUUCAUCGAUUCACUAUAAAUAGCAAUUUUGGAAAACGGAAAUUAAUUCUUGUAAGUUUAGCAUACACCAUUACUCGAUUGUGUCGAUAUAAAUGAAACUAUGAACUGGGACCUUGCGUCUCGUACCAAAUUUACCAAACUUUGAAGCUCUACAUCUCCCAAACCGCUGAGAAUUCAAUCCCUACCCUUGAACCAAAAAUUGGUAGAGUUAUGCACGAAGAACAAAUUUGAUUAAGGUCGACUAAGAUUUUUACAUGCAAAAUUAUGUUAGAUUAUUAGACAAUUUUCAUGUCAUUUUAAUUCCAUAAAUUAACAAUAUGAUGAUGACAUAUAUGAUAUUAUUGAUAAAUAUAAAUAUGACAUGAAUCAUAAUUACGACAUGUAACCAUGAUCCAUAAAGCAAAUCAAAUAUCAAAGCAUAGCAUGGUAUAUAUGUAACAGCACCAAACAUGAUAUAACUAUCAAAACAGAUAAACAGAUAUACUGAAACAGAAAAACAGAUACUAGCGAAACAACAGAACUGUAGAACAGAGACAUAUACGCAGAACUUAAACAUAACAGGAACAGACAACAGAUAUCUUCUGAAACAACUAAACAGACCUACUGAAACAGGUAUGACACAACUAUCGACAGAGCUACUGAAACAAACAGAGACAGAGCGACGUACAACUGAAGGAAGACGAACAGAUCAUACCCUGAGACUCGCGCAUUCAGAUUUCCAGAACCUUGUCCUUCCUCGAUCGCCAUGGAGUAGAGACGAAGGUGAAGACGACGAACCAAUCACCGGGAAGGAGAAGACGGCGACCGGCAACACCAAGAGACCUCCGGGAAGAAGAUGAACAGCAGCAAUGGAGUUGGACAGUCGCGUAGACGCUCCCCAAAAACCUAAUUGCCGAUCCCCCGUGCAAGGUCUCGAACGGCAAGGGCUCCGGAGGCACCUGCCCUCUCGCUCCUCCGUGCGCGCGAAGUUACGAGAUGGGGAUUCCUACUUUGCAACGGAACUGUGAUCUGUGUGUUCUCUCUUGUUGUACCAAGGAGAUGAGUCUCCUAUUUAUCCUUGUGGCGGGAGAGGAGAGGAGGGGAAGGAACUCCCCUGCUGGCGGCUGAGGAGACGGGCAUCUGAAGGGUUUUCACGCGAAGUUGAAACUCCCUCAAUUAAUUAUCGAAACACCCGCAGAUAAUGAGUUGAAACUCCCACAUAAUUGAGUUGAAACUCCCGUACCAUCAGCCAUCCACUCCAACCUUUGGACUUGCUCCUAUUUGAUACAAUGUAUAUAUUGUCCAUAAUUACACACCAUAGAGUUUAUUGAUUUAUUAAAUCUAAAUGGGUCUAACCCAUAAUAAAUCCAACAAAUUAAUUGAGAGAAAUUUGGCAAAGAACAGAGCUACUUCAUCACUACAAACUAGUUCAGUUCUGCACCGAUUGCCUGUUUGAGCAGCUGGAGACGCCGGGGAAGCAGCGCGUCCAGCCAGAGCAGCGCCGGCGGGACCUUCACAAUGCCGACAACAGCUGCGCACGCACCAGGGAAACUUAGGCACGGGAGGAGCUCCGGUGGCAGGGGAUUAAUGGAUCCGGGGCAUGGGGGCCGGCGAUGGCCUAGAACCGUGGGUCCUCUAGGCGUGAUGGUGGGACAAGAAGCGGCCGCGGGUUGCAAUGCUGGUUUUGGUCAUCGUGGUCACUUGGGCAAGAUGGGAUUGUGAAGUGAGAUUAUAUAAGUAGAUAUAUAAGAUUGUAAAGUGACAUUGUGACUAAAUAUAAGAGGAUGUGAUCACUAAAGUGAUAGUGACUAAAAUGAUCAUGUCCUCUUUGCAAAAGAGCUGAGGUUUUGAUUCUCUCAUUUCGAUCAACAUUUACACUAAGAAAUACAGGACACUACACUAAGAAAUACUACAAUAUACCAAAAGAAUGUCAGUUCGAUAUGUGCAGAAUGUGAGAAAUUUCAAGGUACCUUGUCUUUGCAAGAAUGCCUUAAUGAACCAUGUCAGAUGGAUGAACUUCGGCAAUAUAGAUCAACGUAUCAUAUACACGAGUCCCAAUGUUUGAACACUUAUCCCUCCCUCUCUAAAGAGGCAGACCACUGUGGUUGGGUGGACAAAGCCAGAAGCACGCCGAGCCCUGGGAUGAUCCAUUGACGGAGGAGAAACAUGCGUGCGCACAAAGUCAUUACCCACACAAUAUGUUUCUUUUUAAGAUUUCAUAAGAAUUCUCUUUGAAACUUCUAAUUAUAACUUUUGGGGAGGUUCCACGGAUCCAUCAAGAAAGUUUUUUAACAAAUAUUUUCCUAUUGAUAGUAAGAUGCAUCUAGUGAAUUCAUCAUUGUCGAAAUUUGUCAAUCCAAUUUUAAAGAUGCUCGUAUAUGGUAGGGUUUACGUGCCUGACGUCGUUUAUAAGUAUUAUUAAGGGUAUGUUUUAGUGCGUUCAUAUGUUCUGUGAUUAGAAGGCAAAGACACACAAAGCAAUUGUCUUUAUAGUAUGUAUUAUGAUUAGAAGACAAAGACAGACAAAGCAAGGAUGCUAAUAAGCAAGAAAAUACUCUCUCUCCCAAGAAAAUGUAUUUUUUAUUUUUUUCAAGGAGUCAAAAUUUAACCAAAUAUAUAUAAAUCAUCAACAGUCAUGAUUCUGAAUAAACAUCAUGUGAUUAAUGACACAAUAUAUAUUUUUAUUAAAUCUAUUUAUAGAGAGAUAAAUGUUGAUACUAUUUCAAACAAAGAAUUGUUUUUUUAGCAAAAUAGGAUCGUGAUCUACUGUUAGCAAUUAAAUCAAAGGACGACACAAUGUGCUUUACUUAUGAUUUUUUUUAUGAAAGCUAGCUUAUGAUUUGGCUUCGACAUGUGCACAGCAGCGUCUCGGCUUAGGCCCCGUUUAGUUGCCUUUGUUAAACUUUACAGUACUGCAAGCGUCCGGACUGUCCGAUCUGAGCGCUUGCAUCCGGACGCCAAGCCAUUGUACAAGUCACGCCCCCACCCGCCCCACACCGAGAAAGACAAAAAAUUAAAAAAAAAAGUAGAUAUGGGAACCUGACUGCACCCGCCCCCGCACGGAGAUGAAAGGAACCGCCUCCGCUCUCCACACCCACGAGAUCCCCCCAACCUCGUCGGUCCCCCAGCACCUCCACCCAUCGCUAGCUCACUCCCACAGCCCACCCCCAGCCCCCUGCUUGGUGCUAUAACAAUAUGAUGAAACGACGACUGAAAUAACAUGAACAUGUUAUUCCAACAACAACGAACAAAUUGCUGCAACAAAUAAGUUGAACCAGUUGAAACACCAUUAAUAUGUUAUGCAAUAACACUGAACAAAGUGCUUCAACAAAUAAGUUGAACCAGUUGAAACAUCAUGAACAUGUUAUUGCAACAACACCGAACAAACUGCUGCAACAACAUGAAACACCUACUGCAACAUGAGAUUGAAGCAACGAAAACAUACUGCAACAUCGCAAAGAAAGCAAUACUACAACAACAUUGGGAUGAAGAAGUUGAAACAGUAAGAAACAUAUUAUUGAAACAACAAAAGAACUACUACUGAAACAUCUCGAAUAGACUACUAAAACAUCUCGGAUUGACGAUUGCAACACCACAAAAUCCACUGUAGCCGCGAGAUAAAGGGAAAGAGGGGAGGCACAUGGGUUGGGGGCGCCGUCGGGGGUGCAGAUCGAGCCGCCUCCGUGGAUGGGAUGGGGGAUGGGCCGCCAUUGCCUAUUGGGUGGAGGAGACCACCACGCUACUGGAUCUGCAUCGUGCUCCAUGUAUCCGCCAUGGGAAAGCCAGUACUCCAUGGAUCUACCAUGGGAAAGCCACCAUGGCCGGCGUCGAGGUGGGGGACGACACGCUAGGGUGGAAGACGCACAUCGGGCCCGAGAUGGGUAGAGGACGCCGCCUCCAUAGAUCCCCCUAUUGCGUGCUCGAGCUUCUGUUGAGGAGGGAGAUGGGGGAAGACACCGCACUGAGUUGAGGUCUCCCAGGUUGGGACCAUGGAAGGUUGUGGUGGAUUUCUGAGAGAGAGAGAGAAGAGAAAAGUGAAUGAGGGAGCAAGUAGCAGGAGAGAGAGUGGGCAAGAAGAGUCAUGCGGUAGAUAUUUUGAGAUGAGUGGACGAGGAGAGCUGCAUGCGGAUGAAAAUGAGUGGAUAAGAAGAGUCACAUGCGGAUAGACACGAGCGACAGAAAGCUGAGUGAGCAGGCACCCCGUCUCGAAACGGCCAGACGUCAGAGUCAAAGCAUUACCGUAAACUUUAACUCUCAUCACAUUAAAUAUUUGGUCACAUACAUGAAUUAUUAAAUAUAGACUAUUUACGAAACUAAAAACAUAGUUAAAGAGUAUGUAAGAUAAAUCUUUUAAACCUAUUUAGUUUAUGAUCGGACACUAAUUAACAAAUAAAACAGAAAAUGAUAUAAUAUCUAGUAAACUUUAACACCUCCAAUCAAACACGCCCUUAACAUGUCGAUAUGAGCUGAACAGGCGUCGCCACUGUCGCGUCCGUCCAGCAAGCCGGAGGCGUCCUUUGCCCUGCGCGGCUUCCUCCUGCACAUUGCACACGCACACAAUCACACAAGCUACUGAUGAUCUAUCCAUCUAUAUAUCACACUAUACUGUAGUUUGAUUUGAUGCAAGGAAAUUUCUUGUAGAAAUAAUAAUCUUGUAAUUCGCUCAUCACAAUCAAAAUAUAUAGGGUUAUACCUUUCGAUGACCAUGAGCUGCUCGUAGUGCGCUUCCACGGCGAGGAAGUAGCCGAGGAAUCCGACCAUGCCCAACUCACCCAUCCAAACAACAACUGUCCCGGCGAUGGUGCCGAAGAGGGAGCCGACGACCGAUGUGCCGACGACGAGCCAACCGACGGCACCAACCACGGCGGCCACGGCGCGCACAUCAUCCAUGGCCAGGACAGGACUCCCGAACAUGCACGGCGGCAUCAGCAUCAGCUGCACGGCAAGGAUCAAGGGGCCAGCGAGGUAGAAGACGGCCUCCGUCGACGGGGCCUCCCACUUCGUCUCCGGCAACAUCCAUGAUAUACACCCCACGUUCACGGAGAAGGUGAGCGCCACGGUUUCCAAGAAGGAGACGGAGUGGGCCUUGCGCUCUCGCUCCUCCUGCUCCUCCGCGCGGCUCUGGUAGGUCGGGGUGGACGCCACCGUGGCGGCCGACCACCGCUCCGUCCCGGCGCGCUGCCGGCGUUUGGCGAGGGCGCGCCCGCAGGCAUAGGCCGAGUAUAGCGGCGGGAGGACAAUCGCGGCCGCGCCGGCGACGGGGGCGAUCAGCCUGUCCAUUGCGUUGGCGAGGAGGAGCAGGCACGCGGUGUCGGUGCGCGCAAAUCCGGCGGUGCCGCUGCCGCCGCCGGCGCCCCGAGAGAGCGCGGCGGUCCAGGAGUAGAGGUAGGCCCAGAUCAGCGGCGACAGCCCCCACAGGACGCCUGAGAACACCUCCUCUUCGCCCAUGGCGCCGCAGCGGCGCAGCGUCCCUGCCGCCAGCCAAGCGAACAGCAACGACGCGGCGGACAUAGCGACGGCGCCGGCGCGGGACAGCACCGCGGGGCACUUGUUGCUAUCAUUGUUGUUGCCGGAGGCGCGUGCAGAGGCUGCCUCGGGAACUUCCAUCUUUAGGCUUGAAACGCUCAUAGGUACCCAAUUGUACCAUCAUGUAUAUAUUGCAUCAUGUAUUAUUGCAGCUAAUCUUUCCAAACUUGAUACGAUUUCAGGUUUUCGAAGUUUCCAUAUAGGCCGACAAACAAGUGACCCUAAACCUUGUUUGGUACGGUUUGGGCUGGAACCUCGAGCAACUCCAAAGCAUAUUGUGAACUUAAAUCUCUAAACUUUCCUAAAAAACAAACUUAAGGGUCUGUUUCGUUUAGCUAUGAGCCGUGAGAUAUGAAAGCACAUGCCAUGAAGGUUUGUUGUAUGCGAAGGAACGGGGUGUGCCGAAGCUGAAGAUGGAAACGGAUUGUCAGGUUCUGGUCCGGUUAUGGUCAGAACGUGCAAGCCAAAAAUCCGAGAUUGUCUCCUUACUACAUCAAAUGGAAGAUCUUAGCCAGAGCUUCUAAUAAGCUUUUGAUUUAAUAUUUAUUCAUAGAGAUUGUAAUAGAUUAGCUCAUGAAUGUGCUCGACUAGUAUCUAAUGGACACCAGGUGGUGGAGUGGCUUAUAACCCCACUUGGUUUAAAGGAUAUAGUAGACACUGAUUGUAAUAGCUCUCAUGGCUAAUAUAUGAAGCUUUGGUGUUCCCAAAAAAAAUGCUGCUUCGAGCUAUAUGCUUUUGUAAGAUGUGUGGUUGAAACAAUUGCAAAAUCUACCCCCUCUCACUAUCAGGUUUUUUAAAUAUUUUUAACCCUUUUUAUUUAAUAUUGUAACAAUAUAACAGUCUAACCUUUUCGUCAUGUCAAUCCGGCUAGCGUGAUAAAAUAACGUUGUCAUGCUACAUGUAUUAGCACGACAAGAUCUGCCACAUUGGAUGGCAUUUUCGUAUGCAAAACCUUGUCACACACUCCUGUUGGUGUGACACUAUUGUGUCGCGCCACCAAGUGUGGAUUGACAAGAUUCAACCCUGGAAAAAGCAUAACUCCUAUACGACUCAGGUGGCGAUAAUUUCUAUAUGAAAAUUUUACAUCUAGACGAGAUCUAUAACUUUCUAAUUUUGAAUGUUUUUUCAAUUGAAGACAUUAAGAUGCUAAAUAAAUUAUAUAAAAUUUCAGCAACAUAAAAAUCCUGUACUAUCGCUUGUCACAUUAGAAAAAAUAAUGUCCUCUUUGCAUGGUGUCAAAUGAAGAUAUUUUUAUACCAAAGUUAUAGCUCUCAGUGAGAUCUACAACUUUAUAGUUUUGAGUUUUUAUAUUUGAGGUCGUUAAGAUGCUGGAGAAACUUGUAUAAAAUUUCAGUAGCAUAUUAACUGUGUACCAAGGCCUGUCGUCUCACGAAAAUUAUACUUUUCUUGUACGGUAUUAAAUGAAGAUAUUUUUUAUAUCAGAGUUGUAACUAUCGAUGAGAUCAACAAUUUUUUAGUUUUGAGCCUUUCAUUUGAGAUCGUUGAGAUGCUCAAGAAAAUAAAACGAAAUUUAAGGGGCAUUAUUAAUCACGUACCAGUAAUAUAUGCUGAAGCAUUUUUAUGUGACAUCAAAUAAGAAAUAUAACCUACACUUCUUAGAAAAAUCAUAUAUUUCUUUGAAAUAACUGUGAAACACCUCUCUAUCUCCUUUGAAAUAUAUUGAAUAAAGAAUUAAAAUAUAAAAAAAACCUCUGUCUCUCUGUAUCUACUUCGAAAUAACUGUGAAACACCACUCUAUUUUCACCCAUUUCAAAAAGCAGAAAGUCAAAAACAGGGUUCAAUGUGCUUCCAAAAUUGUACUAUACGAAAAUUAUUACUUCUGGAAAAACAGCUUCGAGUUUCAUAUGCUUGGUUGGCUUUCUGCCUUUUGACAGAAGUUGCACUUUUCAGAAACUCAAUCACUCUAUGGCACACAAGGUGUACAAAUUCUAAUAAAAGGAUGGAAGGUCCGAAAUAAAAUCGAGGCUUAGAACCUUUUGUUUAUCCUCUUUUGAAAGAGUUGAGCUUGAGUGAACAGCUCUUUGGAGUGUAUUCUAGAAAUUUUAAGACAAAUUAAAAGAACAUAAAAGAUGCAUGUAUCCUUGCUUUAUUUCCUAAUCAAACAUUAUCAUCAACUUGAUUAAUAGCGAUUGACUGAUAAAUGGAAAGUAUUUAAUGCAAAAUUGGGGUUUUUCCUCUAGAAUGUAUUAUAUUUGAGGACAAAUUUUGAAUACUAGAAUGAACUAUAUUACAGGACGGAUGGAAUAGAGGCUACAACCUAGUUUCAUUAUCUUAAAAAACAUCCUUGCUCACCAAGCAAAAAGGGUAGAUAAUUAUCUCAUCCUGUUCACUUGUACACACAAUGCUCUUCAGUGGCCAGUUAUGGAUGCACUCAGCCCUGUAAAAUGGGAGCCUUUAAGGCCCAUUUCUAUAAGACGUUUAAUUAAUCAACCCUGUUACAUAAAAGAAGACGCCGAAGACUUGAGCAUCUGAAUUGAGUGUGCAAGAGCUGAGAGAUACAAAAACAAGAAACUGCAAGAACUUCAGCUGCAAAAGUUGUGUAUUUCCUCUUAUAUAGAUAGUGUGCGGAUGUCUUGAUUAAACAACUUUAAAAGUUCCAGCGGAAAGAAAACCUCAAUUGUUCAUUGCAUUUUGACCAAUAGAAUGGACCAAAAGUACCUUCUAAAGAAUGCUUGAAGGUCCAACUUCUAUUGAACUUUGGUCAAUACAUAUCAAGGAAAAUGGCAGAGGCAUCCAUGGUAAGUCGGACUAGCAAACAAGACGAUGCAGACCUCGAAUUAGGUCCAGGAUGUAACCUUCAGUCUUCUGCUUAUCAGCGUGGUACAAUGUCUCUAUCUUGUUCACCACAUGCCUUUGAAUGGCAGAGGCACCAGCGAUGGUCUGACGUUCUUCUUCUCCAGGCCAGUAUGGUUCCUCGACAACUAUAUCCUCUGGCAUCACCCUGAUACAAGAAAUCAUAGGCAAUCAGUGUCUAAGAACUUAUCGUGCAAACAUUGCAUAACCAUAUGAGGAAUGAGGGUUGCAUUCACACACAUGUUUAUCCAUUCACCGAAUGCCCCAUUCUUGUAGUACGAUCUGUCCAUACAGAAAGCAAUCAAAUGUUUAGAUGUACAUAGCACCCACUCUGUUUAAAGGAUGGUUUGAGGCAAUACUAGAACUCUAAGGAAGUUAUUUGCAGUGGUAUUUCAGGUGUAUAUAUCAUCCAUUUAAUUAAAUAGAGCAUGCAGUACGUUGUGGAUUCUGCAACUGGCACAAGCCACUGGAGUAUUCUGUCCAUCUCAGCUCUGACCUCCGCUACGUUCAUCGUCUAGAAGCCAUUACCAAGAUCAGAAUCAGAAUGAAUGAGCAAAACUGUAUAACUGAUAGAUAUGUUCAGAUGUUAUGAUGGCAGAUAAAGAGCGGUUACUCUCUCUCUAUGACAACACUCUCGCAACUUUGAUUUGAUGCAUGGAGGCAGUGCCUGGUACAGUGCAUCCCUAGCUUUGUAAGAAACAGCCGCAGGUGAGGCCAAUACCUGAAAAUGGCCAAGUCAUUAAGACAUAAGAGAGAAUCUAAAUCCAGGAAAGUUCUCGGACAAUGUUGGAAAAUUGCUUCUACUUUCCAACAUGUUCUUGAGUGACCCUAUCUUCUGAAAUAAUUUUUUUACCAUUCUGUUUUUUUUUUUUGGCCACCACCAGGAAUGUCCAGGUGGCAUCCGUUUUGUUGGAGAUGAGGUCUAGAUCAAAGAUCAAAGAUAUGUCAGGGAUGGACACAAGGGAACUAGAUUCAUUGUUUCUUGCUUUCCUUUCAUUGAUGCAUCUCCUUUGCUAUUUAUAGAGUUUUAGUUGAUUCCUAAGGACUUUCUAAUAUACUACUAACAAAACUAAUCUUAUCCCUAACUAACCUUAGCUUGAGAGAGGAGGUGCUACUGAAACGGCUCUGCUACAGUGACAAAACAGCAAAAGGAUGAAAGGAGCCCAGUUGGCUGCCCAUAGCACUUUUCUUAAGGUUAAGGGUUCUUUUCAAAGUUUCAAAAUGACCCAAAUAUACCCCCCUCCGCAGAUUUAUAUAAGGCUAUGAAGCAUUUUAGGAUUCAAACAUCAUAAUUUUGACUAACAAUUAGCGGUAGUAUCCAUGUUCAGUAAAACAAAAAGUGGCGACACUAUAUUCGAUUUGGAGUACUUUCAGUGACUACUUUCUGUACUUAUUAGCAAUAUAUGGUAAACGAAAUGUUGAAAGGUUUGCACUUUGCACAUAUCACCCAAUUAUGUUACAGUACUAUUAGUUGGUAUCAAAAGAACAUGUGUUCAUACCAAUGUAUUUAUCUGCAGAAUGACAUUGGCAUAAUGCAAUGCAAGACCAGUAGGCCCUAAUGUUUGAUGAAGCUUGGUCACUGGCGCUACAGAUUGAUCUCCGUGGUUCUUCAAGAAAGCUCUUCUGAUCUCAAAAUUUAAGACAUGCACAAUGUCUACAAGUUUCGCUACAAUCUACAACAGAACAUAGAGUUGUUAGUCCACAACAUAGAUAAUAUAAACACUUAAUAUUUACCGUGCUAGAUUACAUCUUCCAUUGUCUUGGGCCAAAGUGAUUUAUUUCCCAAGUUCUUAGCAACAGAUCUUUGGUGCUUCAGUGAACGACGCAUGGUUUGAAGCAUAUCUGCAAACAAUUCAUGUAUGGUUUGAAAUCACUAAAAAUAUUUCUGUUCAAAAAAAAUUGUUAAAAAUAGAGCCCUUUUAUGGUCCAUGUGAAGUACUGUUGGAGUGUGUGUAAUGCAGGCCCAUGUGGCUAGGCCCAUGAGGCCCAUGUAUCCCUAAUUAUAUGGCACCCUGGUUAGGGUUAGCCCAAGUAAUAAGAAACCCUAAUUCUAACAUGGUAUCCAGCUAGGUUUUCUUCCCUCCCUCUCCUCCCCAGCCGCCGCCGCCUGCUGCCAGCCACCGGCUGGCCGGCAUGCGCCUCUGCCAUGGCUGACCACCCUCCUCCCUUCUCCUCCUACUUCCCACCUCUUUCUUCCUCUACCUGGGCGCAGAUCACAGCCGCCGCCGCCGAUCCAACUGCUGGCGGCCGUCCUCUGGGAGCCGCGCUCGGGCCUGCGCUGGGAGCGGCGCUCCGACUGGCGGCGGAUCCGUCCGCUCUGGACGUGGCCGCGCCUGGCGUCGUUCGCCCGCUGCAAGGGGCUGCGCCCGGAGCCGUCCGCCCGCCCCCGCCGGGCCUGGCCGCGCCCGGACGCGCGCCUGAAGGCGUUUGUCCGCCCCCGAUUGCGCCCGUGCACGGAGACCGCCCGCCUGGAGCUCCCUCCGCCCGUCUUCAGGGGCCACCGAGCGCCGCCGCCUCCCUCAUGGCCACGGGCGCCGGGACAGACACCGGUACCCUGCCUGCGGAUGCUGCUGCUGACGCCACUGGGGCCUUAGACGCCCUGGUCGUGGAGGUAGGGCCUGCGGCCAUGGCUGCAGGGGCUGCUGCUGCCAUGGCCGCCGGGCUGGGGAUGCCGACCGGCGCCAACGACACGCUCCUGCGCCUCACUGCCUCGACUUCCGCCCCGCCUCCAGCUUCCCACCUCAACAGCAGCGCCGCCGCCCUCACCGCUGCCCGGGCCGCCGUUGCGGAGGGCAUGGCCCGCGUCCGUGAGGCCGCGCUCGCCUGGGAGCGCGAGCGCGACGCGGCAGACACCCUGGCUCGCCAGGUCGCUGAGGCGGAGCAGCUCCUCGGCAUACCUGCCUCGACCGACCUCGGAGCCACGUCCUCAGCCGGUCCCCGCGUGGCUCACACCGCGGCAGCCGGUCCCCGGGUCCUCUGGCACGACCCGGCCGAUCCACUUGUGACGCAGCUCCACUACCAGGCUGGGGGUGUCCAGAACAUCCGCCUCCUCGUUCCGGUCGUCCUCGAGCCCGAGUCGCCCUCCUACGCUCGCUGGCGGGACUUGGUCCUCCUCACCCUCCGUCGCUACGCCCUCGACGAUCACGUCCUCGUCGACGCCUCGGCCGCGGUCCAGACAUCCGCGUGGCUGCGUCUCGACAGCAUCGUCCUCUCUUGGAUCCUCGGGACGAUCUCCCUCGACCUCCACGACCUCGUCCGCAACACUCCGAGCGCUCGCGGGGCCUGGCUGGCGCUCGAGGGCCAGUUCCUGGGCAACGCCGAGGCCCGGGCACUGCGACUCGACGCGAGCUUCCGCACCUUCGUCCAGGGCGAUCUCUCCGUCAGCGAGUUCUGCCGCCAGAUGAAGGGCAUGGCGGACUCUCUCGGCGACCUCGGCUGGCCCGUGGAGGACCGUAUCUUGGUCCUCAACGUCCUUCGCGGGCUCAGUGACCGAUACUCCUACCUCCGGACGUGGAUCACCCGGCAGCGGCCCUUCCCCACCUUCCUGCAGGUCCGUGACGACCUUGCCAUGGAGGAGCUUACUCAGGGCCUCCAGCCUGGGUCCUCAGGGUCCUCGUCCUCGACUGCUCUUGCUGCCACUCCUCCGCCCCGUCCUGCCCCGCCACCACAGUCGUCACUUCUUGGCCCUCUUCCCCCCGGGCCGAGCGGGGGUGGAGGGGGCCGUGGCGGCCGCCGUCGCCGUGGUGGGGGACGUGGAGCAGGUCGUGGGGGCAACACGACGCCGACACCUCCACGGGGUGCACCCUGGCCAUCCUUCCACCACCCAUGGUCAGGGCGCAUCUCCAUGUGGCCGUUCCAGGCUUCCGGUGGCGACCCUCGCCCGCCGGCGGCCAUGCUCGCGGGUGCUCCCUCGGGGUUCCCCUCAGUGACCCCGUGGGCGGCCCCGUUCCCCGCGUCCUCGUGGGCUACUCCACCGGCGACCUUGCCCGGGUCUGCCGGCUGGGACCAGGCGGCCUUGGCGCACUCCUUCAGCACUAUGGCCCUGACACCUCCAGUCGGGCCGGAGUGGGUCGCCGACUCUGGGGCUACUUACCACACCACUUCUAACCCCGGUAUUCUUUCUUCUGUUCACCCUCCUUCUCCAUCUCUCCCUUCGUCCAUUAUGGUCGCUAAUGGGUCUUGUCUUCCUGUCACCUCUGUGGGUGCCGCCGGCCCCCAUGGUUCCUUUCGUCUUCCUGAUGUUCUUGUUGCUCCUUCUAUGGUUCACAAUCUUCUUUCUAUUCGUCGUUUUACAACUGACAAUUCUUGUUAUGUGGAGUUUGACUCUUCUGGUCUUACUGUGAAGGAUUUGGCUUCCCGACGUCCUCUGCUCCGAUGUGACAGCACGGGGCCCCUUUACACUCUUCGCUUUCCGGCAUCUGCCUCGCCUCCUUCGCCAGUCUUGUCAGCUGCCUUCGCCACCACUACCUCCACUACUUGGCACCGGCGUCUCGGCCAUCCUGGACGUGAUGCUUUGAUGCAGCUUAGUCGUAGUUCCGAUAUUCGAUGUACUCGGGCUCACGAUGAGCAUUUGUGUCAUGCGUGCCAACUGGGCCGUCAUGUUCGUCUUCCUUUUUCUAGUUCUUCUCAUGCGGCCCGCAUUUUUGACCUUGUACAUUGUGACUUAUGGACCUCUCCUGUCAUUAGUAUUUCUGGAUACAAGUACUAUCUUGUGGUGGUGGAUGAUUAUUCUCAUUAUUCCUGGACUUUUCCUUUACGUGCAAAGUCUGAUGCUUUCCCUGCGCUUGUCCACUUUUUCGCUUGGGUCUCCACACAGUUCGGCCUCCCUAUCAAGGCUGUCCAGUGUGACAAUGGUCGGGAGUUCGACAACUCCACCUCCCGCGCCUUCUUUCUCUCUCACGGUGUCCAGUUGCGCAUGUCUUGCCCGUAUACUUCCUCUCAAAACGGCAAGGCUGAGCGCAUGAUUCGCACCACCAACGACACCAUGCGCACACUCCUGCUCCAGGCCUCUCUUCCUGCUCGCUUCUGGGCCGAGAGCUUGCACACGUCCACUUACCUCCUUAACCGCCUUCCUUCCGCUGCUUGUCCAGCUCCCACACCACACCACGCUCUCUUUGGUACCCCUCCUCGCUAUGAUCACCUUCGAGUCUUUGGGUGUGCGUGUUACCCCAACACCACUGCCACCGCUCCUCACAAGCUGGCACCCCGAUCGACUCUUUGUGUCUUCCUUGGGUACUCCCCGGAUCACAAGGGGUACCGAUGUUACGACCUUACCUCUCGUCGAGUCCUCAUAUCUCGCCAUGUGGUGUUCGACGAGUCGAUCUUCCCCUUUUCCACCACUACCACUCCUGCUUCCACCUCGGAGCUUGACCUCUCCUCUGUGUUUCCUACUGACCCGGUGGUCGAGCCACCUUUCCCGGUGUUUCCUGCAGGUACUGCUACGUCGCCUGUCGCCCGUGACACCUCGGGGCCUCUACCCUGCCCGGGUCCCGAGGGGUCACCUUCCGGCCCGGCCCCUGCGCCUGACGCGGGUCCCGGGUCGGCACCUUCGACACCGACACCACCGGCACGCUUCGCCCAGCCGGUGCGUGUCUACCAACGACGUGCUCCCGACGUGGGUCCCGGGUCGGCGUCUCCGACUCCGGCCCCACCGGCACGUUUCGCCCAGCCGGUGCGCGUCUACCAGCGACGUGCCCGGCUGGCGCCGCUGCCUCCGGCAGCGUCGGUGGCCCCCUCUUCGCCGGGGUCACCUGCGUCACCGGCGACGUCUUCCCCGCCGGCGACACCGACCCCGCCGCCGAGGCACCCAGUUUCUCGGGCCGCGACUUCGGUGUACCACCCACCGCUCCUUCACCGACACCCGUGUCAUGUUCACCCGAUGGUGACACGACACGCGGCUGGGACCCUGCAGCCCCGGGCUCUUGCGGCGAUGCCCGGGGACUCGCAGGUCUCACCGGUACCCUCUUCCGUCCGCUAAGCCUUGCUGGACCCUCACUGGCGCCGCGCGAUGGAAGAGGAGUACGCGGCCCUCCUCGCCAACCAGACAUGGGAUCUGGUGCCACGACCGCCGGGCUCAAACAUCGUCACCGGCAAGUGGAUCUGGACCCACAAGCGCCGGGCUGACGGCACCCUUGAGCGGUACAAGGCUCGCUGGGUCCUCCGGGGCUUCACUCAGCGGCUCGGUGUCGACUACGACGAGACCUUCAGCCCGGUGGUAAAGCCGGCCACCGUCCGCACGGUGCUCUCGCUGGCUCUCACGCGCGGGUGGCCCGUGCAUCAGCUGGACGUCAAGAAUGCUUUCCUGCAUGGCGUUCUUACUGAGACAGUCUACUGCAGUCAGCCUGCGGGGUUUGUUGACUCUUCUUGUCCUGACAUGGUGUGUCGGCUCAAGAAGUCUCUCUACGGCCUCAAGCAGGCCCCCCGGGCGUGGAACCAUCGGUUUGCUGCUUUUCUACUGGCUCUGGGGUUCGUGGAGGCAAAGUCAGACACCUCGUUGUUCAUCUAUCACAAUGGGGCUGAGACUGCAUAUCUGCUGCUCUAUGUUGAUGACAUUGUCCUUACAGCCUCCAGUGAGUCCCUCCUUCGACGGAUCAUCGCAUCACUUCAGCAGGAGUUCGCUAUGAAGGAUCUGGGUCGGCUCCACCACUUCCUCGGGGUCACUGUUGAGCCUCACCCUGCUGGAUUACUCCUUCACCAGCGGCAGUACACUCUUGACAUCCUGGAGAGAGCUGGGAUGACUGACUGCAAGCCCUGCUCCACUCCGGUUGACACACAGGGCAAGAUAUCAGAGGUUGAGGGUACCCCCGUGACAGAUCCCACUGCAUAUCGGAGUCUUGCCGGGGCACUUCAGUACCUCACCUUCACUCGGCCGGAUAUCACCUAUGCAGUUCAGCAGAUCUGUCUUCAUAUGCAUGAUCCCCGGGAGCCACACCUCACCGCUCUCAAGCGGAUCCUUCGCUAUCUCCGCGGCUCUGUCGACUUCGGUCUCCUCCUCCACCGACGGUCGUCCUCCUCCGAGCUCGUCGUCUACACUGACGCCGACUGGGCCGGGUGUCCGGACACCCGCCGCUCCACCUCCGGCUACGCCGUCUUCCUAGGCGGCAACCUGGUGUCUUGGUCGUCCAAGCGCCAGCCGGUCGUCUCCCGCUCCAGUGCCGAGGCGGAGUACCGCGCUGUCGCCAACGGCGUGGCUGAGGCUUCCUGGCUCCGGCAACUCCUCGCUGAGCUCCACAGCCCUCUCUCCCGGAGCGCACUGGUCUACUGCGACAAUGUCAGUGCGGUGUACCUCUCCACCAACCCUGUGCAGCACCAGAGGACCAAGCAUGUGGAGAUCGAUCUACACUUCGUUCGGGACCGGGUUGCUGUCGGCGAUGUUCGGGUCCUCCAUGUCCCGACCACAUCCCAGUUCGCCGACAUCUUCACCAAGGGCCUCCCGUCCUCGACCUUCGCCGAGUUCCGCUCCAGCCUCAACAUCACCAGUGGCUAGUUGUGUCUGUGGGGGGGCUCGUGUGUGUGAUUCUUUUCGAGUCCAGUCUGCAACUCCGCUGCACCGGUAGUUCAGACUGCGGGGGGGUGUUGGAGUGUGUGUAAUGCAGGCCCAUGUGGUUAGGCCCAUGAGGCCCAUGUAUCCCUAAUUAUAUGGCACCCUGGUUAGGGUUAGCCCAAGUAAUGAGAAACCCUAAUUCUAACAAGUACAAGGAGGUACCACCAAAUUAUAACUAGGAAACUAGAAAAUUUAGCAACUUAGCACCCAGAUUGUGUUUUAUCUCCCAUGGCAUAAUUUUGUGAUAUCUCAUAAGGACCACUAAAACAGCCUUAAAACUUGCAUAUCUGUCAUCAGUCUCAUUAAUAAUGGAAGUGUCUAUGUUACAUUCAUCCUUUUUUUUCUAUGUCUUUUUAGACCGAAAAAUAUCCCACACAAUUGGGUGGCUAGAUUUUCGUAUCAAGCUGCAUGCACCAUUCAGUUUAGCUCAAAGGCUAAAUAUAGAAAGACGGACAGCUCACUUAUCUGACAUUCCACCUGACUUGAACUCAAGACCUAUGGCUCUAAUACCAUAUAUAUUAAGGUGCAUGCACAUCCAAUUAGCCCAAAACGUCACGCACUAGGCACUGCGCAUGAAUAUCAUCUCUCUUUGGACAAUGAGAGAAAAGUGAAGUGCAAUCCAAAAAUGUUUUUUUUCUUUUAUAGCACCUUGUCUUGUUACAUCAAAAAAGAAUUCAAGUGCAAAAUACUAACUUCUUUGAUCACGCUUAGAUCUUCCACUACACAAUUCGUACUGUAAUCCUUUUUCACACUUGUCCCACACAAGUAAUGUUCCACGCAGUUCCUGAACAAAGAAAAAUUAAAGAAGCAAACAAAGUGUCAGUGACUUCUGAUGAAAAAACAAACUAGAAGAUUUGUGAACGUGCAAAGAAAUACAGACCGAAGUGUACUUUUCAAGCUUUGUAAGAUACUCUAUAUUGGAAACUGAUUCUUCGUUCAUCAUUUGUUUCAGAGUUUUCAUCUCUCGACCUGCCAGACUAUUCAUUAUCGAGAAUAGCAUCCACAAAACAGACCAUCAUGAGGUCCUAGAGUUCAGAACUCGAUAUUAAGUUAUUAAUUUAGGUGGUCAUAACUUAUAAGAGUAGGUUUUACCAGUCGAAACACCUAAACAUGUUGUGCCAAGAAGGAUCUACACACAUAUUUCCAAACCGACAAACCUCUGAGCAAAAUUGCCUAAACAUCUGUCUGUGCAAUUCAAAUCAAAUUCACAUAAGUAAAUCUUGAAAAUAUACUAGUGAUUACAGGAACAGAAAAUCCACAUCACCGUAUGUCAGCUUCAACAAGAACAACCAACUGAUUGUGAUCUUCGGAGAUCAGACGACGAACACCUUCUGACCUAAGCACCCCUUCUUUCAGAUGCUCCAUGCUUUGUUUGGAGAGUAUUUUCAUCAGACUGGAGCUCUUCACAAUUGUAUUGGCAACCUCAAGGGCCAGAAUACUUAUCUUACUUCCUUUGGCAGAGAAGGAGAAAAGACUGCUGCUAUUUAAUCUAUUCAACAUUGUGAUAGGAUUCGUCAUCCCUACUGAAUAACCUAAUGUGUCAAUUUCUGUGACCUGUAGGAUGAGGACAUAGAUAAAAUAGCUCCAUGUUAUAUGGAUUUGGUAUGUAAAUUUAUUUUUUACAUAUCUUAGGGAAGAGCUAGCACACGUACCAAUGCAUGCCUAUUUGUACUCCCUACUGCAUUAAGCAUUUGAAGUAUAUCCAAUGCAGAAGGCCUUUUCUUCGGGUCAGAGUGGACACAGUUUAGUCCUAUUACAAUGCAUGUAUUUACUUGUCGACUUUCUAUUUCCAGGGGUAUAUACUUUGGUGCCUUUUCCAAGUUGUUCCUCCAAUUUUCAACCACCUAAAUUUAACAGAGUAAAUGUGUCAGACUAAAAAGAAUAUUUUUGGGAUCACACUACGAGAAAUAUGUAAAGGCUGGCUAAGUCAUCUUACGUUCUUGAUGAACCGCUCAAAUGAUGCUUCACUACUUGGGGGAUAGUCCCUAGAUCCCGUCAUUAGCUCUAUAAUUAUAAUGCCCAGACUGAAUAUAUCAGACUUGGUGGAUAUGAAUCCAUUUGUUAAGUGCUCUGGUGCCAUGUAUCCACUGCAUUAUAACAAGAAAUGCCAUCAGCCCAUCAUAUUUUCAAUUGGAUAAGAACACAGCACAUAUCUAAAGAGAAUUAGCUUACCGUGUCCCCCCGCGACUUUCAGUGAUUAUUCGAGACUGUUGUUGGCCAAAGAGUCUUGACAUACCAAAAUCUGCAAUUUUUGGCACCAUACCAUCAUCAAGCAAUAUAUUCUCGGGUUUGAGGUCCAAAUGAACAAUAUGGCAUUCCGUGUGAAGGUAAUGCAAACCAGAGCAAAUUCCUCUAAUUAUCUGAUAUCUCAUAUUCCACUUGAGUCCACAAGAUUCAUCUGUAGAUACAGGUAAAUACACAAGAUAUGUGAGGUCAUCCAACAUAUGGGUUGUGGCACCACAAUGGCAUGAAUAAUAGCAUUUUGUGCACAAAAAAAUGUUGUAUUUAUGCCAUACUAAGGUACUUUCAACAGGAGGACAAGAAAAAAAAAGACAGCUAGGAAGAAUGCAUACCCGAGAGGUGCUUAUCAAGGCUCUUCUUAUUUAGGUACUCAAAGCAAAGCAGCCUUUUUCGUAUUUCAGCCAUGACAUAUUUCCCGCUUACUUGAGUUGCCUCCCACCGUGAUUCAGCGCAAUAGCCUACAAGUUUUACAAUAUUUUUGUGCUUCAACCCAAUUAGAUAAAUAACUUCAUUCUGAAAUGGACCAUCUUCUAGCUGCAUCUCUGAAAGCUUCUUCACAGCAAUUGCCUUCCCAUUUUGAAGAAUUCCCUGUUCAAACUCAUAUUGGGAAUACUGACAUUAGCCUUUGAGAAUCAUGGAACUGUUUUAUAUGUAUCAUAUAUGCUACUAAAAGGUUCCUACAUCCCUACAAUACACUGCAACACAGUGCUCCUUACGUGCCACUUAUAUAUUAAAAAAAAAGGCCUGCCAUAUCAUUGCUUCCAGUUCAUUUUUCUGUAAUAUUAUAAGUUUUCCAUAUUGCCCAAAUUGGUCCCAUCUAAAGAACACCUAACGUGUCUCACAUGUCAGCCCUCUAUCAAGUCAAGCAUAUCUUUUAAAUCGGAUCUCUAUAUGUCAAAAUGCAGAGCAAACUAAACAUCUAUUUCUGGAUAUGUUCGAUUGAGUCCAAGAAUCGCAUACUAUUAAGCACAGAUUUAAAUUUCAGGAAGUCACUGCAUCAAUUCACGUUGUUUUUCAGUGGCAACUAUCUCAAUCAGUACCUACAAAUGUUUUGACCAAACGGUUUGGUAAUGGGGUAUGGCUCCCACAUCGGCCAACCAAAGAAAGACUGAACUAGGCCAUGAAGUUGAUCACGGAAAGAAAACAGACAAUGAAGUGGUAGAAAUCCUUGGGAGGAGGAUUGGAAAUGAGAUUAAGUUCACCUUGAGCGCGACGGAGAGGUGAGGGCAUGAGGCAAGGGGUUGCAGCGGGAAAGCGGAGGCAUCUGCAAUGGUGACGCAUGAGUCUGAUGAAUAAAUCGAUCGGAGCUGGCGCAGCAGAGUGGUGAAUCUGCUCGCUGAGACGCGGCGCCGGCAGCGCCGCGGCGGCCGACCGGCACCCGCGCCGCGCAGUGGCGCUGGCCGAGGUGGGGGACACUGGCACAGACUGGGCUGGGCCUUCGCCCAUUUGGCUAGCCCAACGCUAAUGCGCCUGUUAGCAAUCACUGGUUGUGGCUAUGGUUGUUUGUAGCAUCUUCUCAGUAAUAAUAUCUAAAGAUUUAAAAAAAAACUAAAUUUGAGUCUAGAAACUGACUUCGAAACCUUUUCAAAAAAAAUAAUGGAUAUAAAAAAUACACUCCAUGAAUAGUUUCUUUUAUUUGUUCCUAAUAAAGAACUCUCUCUGUCCCUUUUUAAAUAUCAUUCUAACAUGCUGAGAAGUCAAACAUACUUAACUUUGAUUAAAUAUAGUGAUUACUAAUAUUUAUUGUGUAUUAAGAAGUCAAACAUACUUAAUUAGUUUUUAUGAUUCCUUACUCGCCUCCUUAAUUUGUUCCUGUUAUUGCUAUGAUCUUUGUGUGCACCGCGAACUAGGUUGGUCAAUAGAUGUUAGGGACCUAGGACUAAUUAAAUUUUAUUCCUCGUUCCUCUAUAGUUUUUAGUAGCUUUCUUUUGUAUCGUGCGAACAAAUGUUGAUUUGGUGGUUAUAUAUGCCCGUGCCAAACCACUAUACGUAUAUGUGUGUGUAUUUUGUCAUUAUUGGUGGCAUUAUUGACUAAUGACCUCCCUAUUCCAAAGCUUGGCUCUGCUAUUGAUCUUAUUAAACACAAUUUGAAUGUGCAAGACAACCAAAUACUACUACUACUACGGGUUUCUCUUAUCCUACAUAAAAACUAGUACAACUAAGGCUAGUAUAAGCAACCAAUUAUACUCUGUAUCCACAUAUGAUUUUGUCAAAAAAAGGAAGAAAUUCAAGUGGUUUAUUAGUGGCCAUAAUUUUGCGAACAUUUAGAGCAUCUCCAAGAGUUUGCUAUUCCACUUGGUAUACUAAAAAAUUUGGCAAAAGUUGCAAAAAACGUUCUCCAACAAUUUGCUAUUCACACUUGCCAAAAUCCUUCACUUGCCAAAACUUUUCUCCGCGCGUGCAGUUCUCCGCACGGCUGAUUCCUUCGCCAAAUCAUUGUUGGUACUCGUGCAGUGCAAUGUCUGGCCGGCAAAAUGACUAUGCUUUUGAUCACAUACACGCUAUACCGAUGACUGACCGGCGAAAUCUCAGUGAUGUGACACUGUCCACUUCUACAAUAUUGCUAGAUGAACACAACUGAAAAUUACAUCUAAAAUUUUUGUAAUACUAAAGUUAAUACAAAAGUAAAUAAAAGGCUCAUAUUUUGUAUGAGUACAAAUCUAGAUGAUGGUUCCAAAGAUGUUCGAUGAGAUCUUCUUUCAACUGUACAUGGGUGUCUUUGUUUCUGAUUUGCUGAUGUGCUUCAAUAUAUUCAUCAAGCGUGCGAGCUAGCCGGCCACGUGCAGGUUCCACAGUCUCACCUCCAUAAUCGAAUGACUCAUUAUGGUCCACCAUGAAUCCUUCAUCUUCGACGAUCAUGUUAUGCAUGAUAACACAAGCCCUCGUGAUUUACCUGUGCGAGGGAGUCAUGCACCCUGCCUUGAUGUCACGAAGGAGGGAGUGACGCUGCUUGAUCUCACGAAGGAGGGAGUCUCACGCUGCCUUGAUCUCACGAAGGAGGGAGUCACGCACUAGCUAGGGCAGCUGCCUUGAUCUCGCGAAGGAAGAAAAAAAGCUAUGCGCGGCGCCCCUGUCUCCACACCGCGACGCAAUUUCCCCGCGAGGAGAUCAUGAAGGGAAAGCCUCCCGACGGUUACUGCUAGGCCCAUUUUUUGUGGUUUGGUAAGUUCAAAUUGGCGAACUCUUGGAGAUGCUCUAAUAUUUCACUUGCCAUUUAUUUUACGGAGUUGCCAAAUAUCAAAAUUUGGCAAGCUAGAAAUAGCAAAUUCUUGGAGUACGGUCAAUCAAUCAUUGCAGGUUUCUAGUUGGCACCAUAGUAGUUUUGCACGCUAAACUUUCACACAAAAGAUGCCUACAGACAAUACAACACGGAGAUCGACUAGCUCUAUGAAGUGAAGUAUGCUUCGAGGUGUAAUUUUGAGUGCGAUAAGAAUUAGGAAAACCACUGUACGAAAAAGAAAAGAGAGAGAAGAGAAGAGAGAAGCAGGUACCUUGUAAACCACUCCGUAUCCACCUCUUCCGACUUCUCGUUCCUGGGAGAAAUCUUGCGUGAUGGCUUUCAGAAAAUCCAUCGGCAGACACAUCGGUGCCGCACAGGGAUCUUGUAGCAUGCCCUCCAAUACGCCGAAAUCCGUAGAUUUCGGUAAGAAAGCACGCUUGCUAGCUUCACUGCCAGUUUUACGGUGAAAAAACCUAGAGGAUCAACACAAACGGCCGGAAAUCAGAGAGUAAACUUAGGACUCUUUUGAGACAAAACAGGAAUUUAUUUCACGAAGAAUCUGUUCGCUUGACUAGAAAACCAUGAUUGAAAAUUGUUGGCUGAUUGUUGUGAAAGAAAAAAACACUGUUAAAUAAUUUACAAAAUCGACAGAUAAGUUUAAGCGAACAGGGCUGAGAUUUCGAGCAGAGCUGCAAUAUAUGAAACUGCUGCGUUCCAAACUCAUGGCAUGGGGAAGAACAGGCUUACCUUGGGAGCAUCUCUCCAGCAAGAUGUGUGCCGUGUGCGUCGUCGUCGUCGUCUCCAAGCCCAAUCGGAUGUCACUGAAAAGGGUUCGUGCGAGUGCGAGCCAACUGUGAACCAAGGAUUGAUGGACAUGGACUAAUCGUUGACCUGACCGGCUGAUGGCGACUGCGUGCUGUUUAGGCCUAACAAGAUUUAAAAAGUUUUUGUAUUUUGACAUUGUAGCAUUUUUAUUUUUAUUUGAUAAACAUUGUCCAAUCGAAUAAUUAGGUUUAAAAGAUUCAUCUCGCGAUUUACAGAUAAACUAUACAAUUAGUUUUUAUUUUUAUCUAUAUUUAAUGUUCUAUGAAUAUGUCAUAAGAUUCAAUGUGAUGAGCAAUCUUGAAAAGUUUUUAGUUUUUGAAGUGAACUAAACAAGACCUUAAUUAAGUAGUCACCGCGUAACUAGCGAGGGAACUUUGCGGGUGUCUGAAAUAUCUUAUAGUAUGGGUAUUGGGUAGUAGUGUAUGUAGUAGACUUGAGAUGAGCAAAUCACACCGGCGAUGGUUGCAUAGUCUAUUUUAGCGAGGCUUGAUGUUGCGAUGACUGUUUCACUACCGGAUUAGAUAGGUUCGCCGUGUGUUUACCGCACACGGCAAAGCCUAAGUAGCACACGGCGAAGGGUUUGUCGUGUGUUGCUCACAGCGAAUAGCACACGACAAACUAUGCCAAGGCGAACCUUACCUUUACACACGGUAAAAAUGUAUGCACACGGUGACGCUUUGCCGUGAGUCAAACUUGGCACGCGGCGAAAAAAGUAACGGACGGCGGAAGACGGGCCUGACGGAAGGGUUUACCGUGUGUUGCACACGGUAAACCUUUGCCGUGAGCUAAUCUGGACUCACGGCAAAGACUUAUAAAAUAUUUUUAGUUUUUACUGAAAAGAGUGUUUACCGUGUGCCACCAUGCAGGCACACGGCAAACUUUGCAUCUUUGCCGUGUGCCAUCAUGCAGGCACACGGCAAACCACCUGCACAGGUCUGGCAUAGGCGCCCUGGCAAGCUAGUUUGCCAUGUGUUAUGACCAUAGCACACGGCAAACUCCCUUCUUUGCCGUGUGUUAUGGUCCUAGAACACGGCAAAGCCCCUUCCCAGGUAAAUUUUUUUUGUUUUUUUUGCUUUUGCAACCAUAUAUAUCAUAGCACAGCUCACAUUAAUCACACAUAGCAUACAAAUAUCAUAAUAUUCGCACAUUUGUCACAAUAACCACGAUAUACGAAUCUCUCACAUGCAUAUAACGUACAUGUCACAUACAUAAGCACAUGUUCAUCACCAAGUCCAAUGAUAUUUCUAGUUCAUCACAAGUCUGAGGAAACCACUAGUUCAACAACACAUCCAACGAAACGAAAAAUUCCAUGAACAAAUUACAAGUUCACCAACCGAAUCCAUCUCGUCUGCCCCAUGAAUUGCCUGGAGGUUGGUACGGAUUGACAUGGUCACUCGACCCACCGUCUUGAGGACUUUGCUCAUUGGGCGCUUGAGUAGAACACUGGGAUUGAAGCUGCACAAAGGAUGAGACAAACGUGUUGUAAGUGAAUUUUGAGAUUAAAUACUUGAAGUUAAAGAUGUACAUAGUGGAUUCAAAUAAAAAUUUCGGCAGCACCUCCCCUGCACGGGGAUGUUCCCAAGACCUGCAAGAAAAGCAUCGCCAUGAUGGCUGACAUCCACAGCGGCUCGAUGGCACGCAACCAUAAUUACAUCUACAUCUACAAAGGUAGACAUUGCAUGGUUAAGUGAAGUGAAACUCACUGGACUAGGUCCACCUAGAGCGGGUGGAAGGUACAAAGAUGGCGGCGGAGGUGCUCCCAUCUGAGCCCCAAGAGUUCGCAUAUAGAGGGCCAUCUCCCUGUACUGUGUCUCUAACCCAAUGAUCCUGACUUCCUUUUGCGAGGUAUACAAGGUUGAACACUUGUGUUACAAAGCUAUGUUAUGAUUUAAAACGAUUGAGCGCGAAUGAAACAGCGAGAACCUGGAGGUUGGUGAUGACGCAGUCGGCUGCGGUCGGCCUCGGGCGUACCCCUGAGCUGCUUUGGCCCUGGCGCCUGUCCUUUGCUCUGAUCUGGGAGAGAGUAGGAGUCCUCGAGGAGUCGAUCAAGGGGUCAACAACCCAGUACCGCCCAUGUUGGUUGCCUCCCCCCGCCCUCAUGGUUGCUUCUCCACUGAUGGCCUCGUUGUAGGGAUCGAAGUCACGGCCAUGGAUCGCAUGUGUCGAGUCACAGUACGAGCUGAUGAAAGGUUCUUGUUUGGUUUUGGUAAUUGAGUGACAACUUAGGUGGAUUAAUAGUGUUUAUGUGAGAUACACAGGAGAUUAGUCCACAGGUGAUUAUGUGAAGAUGGAGGAGCUCAUUGCAUAUGAGACAUGACAUGGAGUCAUGUGACCAAGGUGGAGAAGAUCAAGAUGAGGCUUGGCUUGAUGGACCGGUUGCAAGAGUGAAGGGCAAGUCAGAGGCUUUGAAGCGAGGGACCGCGUGUGACGGUGAAGCUUGAGCAAGACUUGGCGCCGAUGGACUGAGGCAACGGUGAAGAGCAAGUGAGGUCAAGAUCGAUGAACCAAUACGAUCACAUGAUGAUAUGAAGUGGAUCAUAUCAUUUGGUGAUUGGUUGGUGCAUGUGUUGCAUCAACAUUGGAGGAGAUGAAAUGGAAAGCGCAAGGCAAAGGUAUAACCUAGGGCUUUUCCAUUUCACCGGUCAUAGGUGUGUAGAGAAGUUUAUGACCGGAUUUAGGAUAGAUGGCCGUACUAUCAAGAGGGGCAAACUUGUUUGCAUAUCAGUCAUCUAGUGCCACUUGAGCGAUCUAACUUUGCAUACGUGUUAGGAUCGAGUGGCGUGGCAAGUUUGAGAGGCUAACUCCUUUGGUGAAAAUGUUUGUGAAAUGCUAACACACAUGCAGAUGGUGGUGUACACUUGGUGGUGUUGGCACAUUUACAAAAGAGGUGGAGUUCCUAGGUGGAGUUCCUCGGAUUCGGCGCUUUCGAGAAAUGAAGUGCAUAUUUUCUAUUGCGCCGGUGGGAAAUUUGGAGAAGUCGCGGGACCGGAUGCUCUGCGCGGAGGCACCGGACGCUGGCCUUUAGCGUCCGGUGUGCUGUCGGGUGUAGCAGAAUGCACCGGAUGCACCGGAGAGAGUCCGGUGCCCAGCGUCCGGUGUGCGGGCGGUUUAGCGACCUUCUCUGCGCAUGAGUCCGGUGAGCACCGGACGCUGAGGGUGCGUCCGGUGGCUCGCGUCCGGUGACCCUGCGAGUUUGCGAAGCUCUCUACGCACGAGUCCGGUGUGCACCGGACGCGUCCGGUGUGAACCUGUGGAGCGUCCGGUGGUGCUGUGCAGGCGCGCGUGCGCAGUAGCUGUUGGCGGCAACGGUCGAAUUCAAACGGCUAGUGACAUGUGGCAGACGUCUGAGCACCGGACGUUGAGGGUUGAGCGUCCGGUGGCGACCUGUGAGCGUCCGGUGCCCACAUGUUUUGCCCAGUGAAGGGGCAACGGCUAGUUUAGCCCUUGGGGCUAUAAAUAGAAGUGGUGGCC